GACGUAGGGCGCGAGCGUUGUCCGGAUUUAUUGGGCGUAAAGAGCUCGUAGGCGGCUUGUUGCGUCAGCUGUGAAAACCCGCAGCUCAACUGUGGGCUUGCAGCUGAUACGGGCAGGCUUGAGUUCGGUAGGGGAGACUGGAAUUCCUGGUGUAGCGGUGAAAUGCGCAGAUAUCAGGAGGAACACCGGUGGCGAAGGCGGCAUCCUGGACCGACACUGACGCUGAGGAGCGAAAGCCAGGGGAGCAAACGGG
rnacentral:rRNA from 1 species